UACGUAGGGUGCAAGCGUUGUCCGGAAUUAUUGGGCGUAAAGGGCUCGUAGGCGGUUUGUCGCGUCGGGAGUGAAAACACCGGGCUUAACUCGGUGCUUGCUUUCGAUACGGGCAGACUGGAGGCAUGCAGGGGAGAACGGAAUUCCUGGUGUAGCGGUGGAAAUGCGCAGAUAUCAGGAGGAACACCGGUGGCGAAGGCGGUUCUCUGGGCAUGUCCUGACGCUGAGGAGCGAAAGUGUGGGGAGCGAACAGG
rnacentral:rRNA from 1 species